rnacentral:lncRNA from 1 species
UGGAUGGCGAGAAGGUAAGACAGGUACUUCCUGGUCUAGGACAUGGGUAAGCUUUUUGAAAUUAAUUACAAUUCUCAAAUUCUAGAGCCAGCCUUUGUAAUUUGUGUUAGUCAACCUAUUUGUAUCGAGGAUUCAAACUAAGGGGUUUGAACUCGAUAUGGUUAUCUACAGAGAAAAUAGUUUCUAAUUAGAUUUUUGUACUUAUAAGAUUGUUUAUUCUAGAGACUUUAAAAAUAAACAAAAGCUCCCACUAUUUUCUCCUCCCACACUCCUCAAGUGGAGAAACAGAAAUAUAUAUGUGAUCUAUUUUUUUCAGUAGGUACUGCGGUCUCAUUAAUCUAUA